AAUCCACUCACUGAACCAUAGACUUAGGCUGCAUUUGGUUUCUAAACUCAAUUGAGUUCGGUUGAAUUCAGUAUAACUUUAAGCUGAGUCUAACAUUCAAAUGCCAAACUCUCAAAUUACUAAAUUCAUCCCAACUCAAAAUCUU